rnacentral:rRNA from 1 species
CGUAGGUGACCUGCGGAAGGAUCAUUAUUGAAAUAAACCUGAUGGGUUGUUGCUGGCUCUCUAGGGGGCAUGUGCACACCUUGUCAUCUUUAUAUCUCCACCUGUGCACUUUUUGUAGACCUUUCAGGUCUAUGUUGCUUCAUUUACCCCAAUGUAUGUUAAUAGAAUGUUGUGACUAUAUAAUAUAUACAACUUUCAGCAACGGAUCUCUUGGCUCUCGCAUCGAUGAAGAACGCAGCGAAAUGCGAUAAGUAAUGUGAAUUGCAGAAUUCAGUGAAUCAUCGAAUCUUUGAACGCACCUUGCGCUCCUUGGUAUUCCGAGGAGCAUGCCUGUUUGAGUGUCAUUAAUAUAUAUAUCAACCCUCUCUUUGUUGAGUGGUUUGGAUGUGGGGGUUUGCUGGCCUCUUAAAUGGUUCAGCUCCCCUGAAAUGCAUUAGCAGAACAACCCUGUUCAUUGGUGUGAUAACUAUCUACGCUAUUGAAUGUGAAGGGAAGUUCAGCUUUCUAACUGUCUUUGGACAAUUCAUCAUUAAUGUGACCUCAAAUCAGGUAGGACUACCCGCUGAACUUAAGCAUAUCAAUAAGCGGAGGAAAAGAAACUAACAAGGAUUCCCCUAGUAACUGCGAGUGAAGCGGGAAAAGCUCAAAUUUAAAAUCUGGCGGUCUUUUGGCUGUCCGA